rnacentral:rRNA from 1 species
ACACAUGCAAGUCGAGCGGAGAUAUAUGUCUAAGAGACUUCGGUCAAAUAAUUAUAUCUUAGCGGCGGAUGGGUGAGGAACGCGUGGAGAACCUGCCCUUCGACAGGGGGAUAACAGCUGGAAACGGCUGUUAAUACCGCAUAUGCUCACAGCACCGCAUGGUGCAGGGAGGAAAGCCGAGACGGUGAAGGAUGGCUCCGCGUCGGAUUAGCCGGUUGGCGGGGUAACGGCCCACCAAAGCGAUGAUCCGUAGCCGGCCUGAGAGGGCGACCGGCCACAUUGGGACUGAGACACGGCCCAAACUCCUACGGGAGGCAGCAGUGGGGGAUAUUGCACAAUGGGGGAAACCCUGAUGCAGCCGACGCCGCGUGAAGGAAGACGUGCUCCGGCAUGUAAACUUCUAUCAGCAGGGAAGAAGAUGACGGUACCUGACUAAGAAGCCCCGGCUAACUACGUGCCAGCAGCUGC